rnacentral:sRNA from 1 species
GGGUUCUGUCUUUUUGCUUCCUAGGUCAGUUGACUUGCUUUAUUAUAUACUUUUAAAAAUGCAAGUUUUUUUUUAAAUCAAAAACUAAUGACAAAUAAUGUUUAUUUGUAUUUAUCAGAGCUUGCAAAUUAUGUCAUUGGUCUUCUGUGAAGUAGAGGACUUCACAGUUUUAUGGUGUUAUUUUGCUAAAUAGAAUAGUAUUUUGAAAUCCAAUGAGGAUUUUAGGGAGAUAAUUUUAAGACAUUAUGUGUUCUACAGAUUGAAGAGGAAAAGAAAAGAACUGCCCGAACAGACUACUGGCUACAGCCUGAAAUUAUUGUGAAAAUUAUAACCAAGAAACUGGGAGAGAAAUAUCAUAAGAAAAAGGCUAUUGUUAAGGAAGUAAUCGACAAAUAUACAGCUGUUGUGAAGAUGAUUGAUUCUGGAGACAAGCUGAAACUUGACCAGACUCAUUUAGAGACAGUAAUUCCAGCACCAGGAAAAAGAAUUCUAGUUUUAAAUGGAGGUUACAGAGGAAAUGAAGGUACCCUAGAAUCCAUCAAUGAGAAGACUUUUUCAGCUACUAUCAUCAUUGAAACUGGCCCUUUAAAAGGACGCAGAGUUGAAGGAAUUCAAUAUGAAGACAUUUCUAAACUUGCCUGAGUUUGAAAAUUUGUUAACAAUACAUUAAAAUCUUAAAGCAUCAAAUUGGUGUUCGCCAAGGCAUUAUGAGACUCUACUGUGUUAGGGUAUUCUUUUGUAUAAAAGAAACAGGUUUUUGAAAAUAUUACUUUAUAGUUGUUCAGCUAAACUUUGAGAACAAUUUACUUAUGUCUCAUGAAGUAUCAAAACUAUGUAAUUUUGUCUUUGUUAUUUUUGUUUCCUUUGUAAUUUACUUGAUGAAUUU